rnacentral:rRNA from 1 species
CUGUAAACGAUGAAUACUAGGUGUCGGGGGUUACGGACGUCUGGUGCCGCAGCAAACGCAGUUAGUAUUCCACCGGGGGAGUACGUUCGCAAGAAUGAAACUCAAAGGAAUUGAGGGGGACCCGCACAAGCGGUGGAGCAUGUGGUUUAAGUCGAAGCAACGCGAGGAACCUUACCAGGCCUUGACAUCCCCCUGGAUAACGGGUAAUGCCGUUAGCCUUUCGGGGCAGGGGAGACAGGUGGUGCAUGGUUGUCGUCAGCUCGUGUCGUGAGAUGUUGGGUUAAGUCCCGCAACGAGCGCAACCCCUGUUCUCAGUAGCCAGCACGAAGAGGUGGGCACUCUGAGGAGACAGCCAGGGACAACCCGGAGGAAGGCGGGGAUGACGUCAAAUCAUCAUGCCCCUUAUGGUCUGGGCUACACACGUGCUACAAUGGCGCAUACAAAGUGAGGCAAGCCGGCGACGGCAAGCAAAACACAGAAAGCGCGUCUCAGUUCGGAUUGCAGCCUGCAACUCGGCUGCAUGAAGCCGGAAUCGCUAGUAAUCGCGGAUCAGAAUGCCGCGGUGAAUAC